UUAAGCAUAUCAAUAAGCGGAGGAAAAGAAACCAACAGGGAUUGCCCUAGUAACGGCGAGUGAAGCGGCAACAGCUCAAAUUUGAAAUCUGGCGCAAGCCCGAGUUGUAAUUUGUAGAGGAUGCUUCUAGGUAGCGACCGGUCUAAGUUCCUUGGAACAGGACGUCAUAGAGGGUGAGAAUCCCGUAUGUGACCGGCCCGCACCUUCUACGUAGCUCCUUCGACGAGUCGAGUUGUUUGGGAAUGCAGCUCUAAAUGGGAGGUAAAUUUCUUCUAAAGCUAAAUACCGGCCAGAGACCGAUAGCGCACAAGUAGAGUGAUCGAAAGAUGAAAAGCACUUUGGAAAGAGAGUUAAAAAGCACGUGAAAUUGUUGAAAGGGAAGCGCUUACAACCAGACUUCUGGGCGGUGUUCCGCCGGUCUUCUGACCGGUCUACUCACCGUCCCGAGGCCAACAUCAUCUGGGACCGCCGGAUAAGACCUCAGGAAUGUAGCUCCCCUCGGGGAGUGUUAUAGCCUGUGGUGAUGCGGCGCGUCUCGGGUGAGGUCCGCGCUUCGGCAAGGAUGUUGGCGUAAUGGUUGUCAGCGGCCCGUCUUGAAACACGGACCAAGGAGUCUAACAUCUAUGCGAGUGUUCGGGUGUCAAACCCCUACGCGUAAUGAAAGUGAACGGAGGUGGGAAGGGUAACCUGCACCAUCGACCGAUCCUGAUGUCCUCGGAUGGAUUUGAGUAAGAGCAUAGCUGUUGGGACCCGAAAGAUGGUGAACUAUGCCUGAAUAGGGUGAAGCCAGAGGAAACUCUGGUGGAGGCUCGCAGCGGUUCUGACGUGCAAAUCGAUCGUCAAAUUUGGGUAUAGGGGCGAAAGACUAAUCGAACCAU
rnacentral:rRNA from 1 species